rnacentral:rRNA from 1 species
AUUGAACGCUGGCGGCAGGCCUAACACAUGCAAGUCGAGCGGAUGAGAAGAGCUUGCUCUUCGAUUCAGCGGCGGACGGGUGAGUAAUGCCUAGGAAUCUGCCUGGUAGUGGGGGACAACGUUUCGAAAGGAACGCUAAUACCGCAUACGUCCUACGGGAGAAAGCAGGGGACCUUCGGGCCUUGCGCUAUCAGAUGAGCCUAGGUCGGAUUAGCUAGUUGGUGAGGUGAUGGCUCACCAAGGCGACGAUCCGUAACUGGUCUGAGAGGAUGAUCAGUCACACUGGAACUGAGACACGGUCCAGACUCCUACGGGAGGCAGCAGUGGGGAAUAUUGGACAAUGGGCGAAAGCCUGAUCCAGCCAUGCCGCGUGUGUGAAGAAGGCCUUCGGAUUGUAAAGCACUUUAAGUUGGGAGGAAGGGCAGUAAGUUAAUACCUUGCUGUUUUGACGUUACCGACAGAAUAAGCACCGGCUAACUCUGUGCCAGCCGCCGCUGUAAGAC